rnacentral:rRNA from 1 species
UACGUAGGGGGCGAGCGUUGUCCGGAAUCAUUGGGCGUAAAGCGCGUGUAGGCGGCCAGGUAGGUCGGCUGUGAAAACUCGAGGCUCAACCUCGAGCUGUCGGCCGAAACCAUCUGGCUAGAGUCCGGAAGAGGAGAGUGGAAUUCCCGGUGUAGCGGUGAAAUGCGCAGAUAUCGGGAAGAACACCCGUGGCGAAGGCGGCUCUCUGGGACGGUACUGACGCUGAGACGCGAAAGCGUGGGGAGCGAACAGG